rnacentral:snRNA from 2 species
AAAAGGCAAUGAAAUAAUAAAUGGC